UGCAUUGCACGAGAUGCAAAUGCUAGUAGCAUUUAAAAGUUAAAGUUCAAUUUAAAAUGCAAAUGCUAGUUGCACCUCGCCGCCGGUAAUAUAUUUAAGUAUAUAAAUUAAUUAAUAUUAAUAAUACCGGCGGCAGCGCUGUCGGUGAUCACCGGAGGCAUCCUUGCCACUGGUAUUUUCGCCGCUAUUUUGAAAAACACGGUCGUCCCCUCCAUCGUCGGUGGGCCGCCGGUAAUUUUGGUCGCAAAUUAUACAUUUUUUUGUAGUGGUAGUAUGAUAUUAUAUUAGGG
rnacentral:lncRNA from 1 species